UUUCCGUAGGUGAACCUGCGGAAGGAUCAUUAUCGUAGGGCUUCGGCCCUGUCGAGAUAGAACCCUUGCCUUUUUGAGUACCUUUCGUUUCCUCGGCAGCCUCGGCUGCCAAUGGGGACCCCAAAAAACACUUUGCAGUACCUGUAACAGUCUGAACAAACAAACAAAAAUUAAAACUUUCAACAACGGAUCUCUUGGUUCUG
rnacentral:misc_RNA from 1 species